rnacentral:rRNA from 1 species
UACGAAGGGGGCUAGCGUUGCUCGGAUUGACUGGGCGUAAAGGGCGCGUAGGUGGCCAACUAAGUCAGACGUGAAAUCCCUCAGCUUAACUGGGAACUGCGUCUGAUACUGGAUGGCUUGAGUUUGGGAGAGGGAUGCGGAAUUCCAGGUGUAGCGGUGAAAUGCGUAGAUAUCUGGAGGAACACCGGUGGCGAAGGCGGCAUCCUGGACCAAUACUGACACUGAGGAGCGAAAGCCAGGGGAGCAAACGGG